rnacentral:rRNA from 1 species
CAGUAGCCACGGUAAUACGUAGGGUGCGAGCGUUAAUCGGAAUUACUGGGCGUAAAGCGUGCGUAGGCGGUGAGUUAAGUCUGCUGUGAAAUCCCCGGGCUCAACUCCAGAAUUGCCUUUAAGACUGCCGAGCUAGCAGGUGAGAGAGGUAAGUGGAAUUCCGAGUGUAGAGGUGAAAUUCGUAGAUAUUCGAAAGAACACCAGUGGCGAAGGCGGCUUACUGGCUCAUACUGGACGCUGAGGUGCGAAAGCGUGGGGAGCAAACAGGAUUAGAUACCCCAGUAGUCCCUGUCUCUUAUAC